GCUCCCCAUGGGUGAGGGGCAGCAAACCUAACCCUAGCCGCCAGGCCUCCGCCACCACCACUUCCUUCUCACCGCCGCCUUGUCGGUGGGAAAGCCCACGUGGCCACCAAGGAUGGCAGCGGAGGGACAUCUUCCAUUGGUUGCUUCUUCUAGUCGUUUGGGUGUAUAUGUUCUAGCUAAGCGUGGUUGCCUUGUGUUGCUUCGAUGGCUUUCCAGCGGUCAUGUUUAGAUGCAAUGCAUGCUGCAUCAGGUCGAUUCAGCCAUUUGGCCAGGUUCCAUUGCAAAAGAUGUAACGGUACAAAGUUUAACCAAUCAAGUAGUGGCCGACCCAAGAUUGGGGCAAACAAGGGUUAUUGUCAGGUUAUUCAACGAAGCAAGCUACCUCACCUACUCAUCACUAGCGACUGCAAAGCUAUCAAGCAUUGUCAUCGUCCUUGCCCUGGCUAACCUCAAUCUCUGAGUCCGCCAUUAAAACCAAAGCUCACAGGAGUCCCGUCGAUGGCCUUAUGAGAUUCACAUGGACCAUUCGGUGGCUCCAAAACGUGCACAAAGUCAGCAUGAAACAAGCUGGACCCAGUAUGGAGAUUGGGUGAGUCUGCAAAGCUGGUAGGCGGGGGACCUUACAAGUAGAUUUGAAAGAGACAAAACAAACUGAGCUAACAAAGUGCAACGAGGGGAGAGGGUAACUGGCGCAACUAGAGCCAUCGAAUCGAGAUUGUGGGCAGAGAUUAGAAAUUAUAGAUUGUCAACUUUGGCAUUUAAGUGGAAGCUAGCUUUGAUCGCCCCUGCAGCAUUAGAUCUUGGAGGGACGGCUGAGAAAAGGAAGGCUCAAAGGAUAUUAGUGUUGUCCCAUAUUGGAAGUUCCGUGUGCAGUAUGAACCCUAUAAGUCCAAAUCCCGAUGGUUUUGGACGUAUCUAUGGCGACAUCCACCCCUGCAAUAAGGAAUCCUCAAUCAUACCCACCCCCGAUCCGGAUCCCAGUCGUCUAGUUUCGUCACACGGCCCCUGCCUCAUGGACGGUUUAGGCCUUGUGUCAAGUAAACAUAGGCAGUAGUACUUCUAAAUCUGCAAUGUACUUAUGUCUUGUGAUG